ACCUAUUUAUAUUAUUGUUAUAUAUGGUUAACGCCAAAUUGAAAGUCGUGGUUGUUGCGAAAAAAUGCGCAAAACUUGCAAUCUUUGAAAAAUAGUUGCAGAAAAAAUUAAACUAAAACCCACUGUUCUAGCUAAAAAGUCAUUUGAAGGGCCGUUUAUCAAUAUAUGAAUAAGCGCUUAACCAGAACUUUAGGCAACAUGUUGAAAAAUGGUUUUCUCAAUAUCUGAUAAGCAAUAUCUCUCAGUUAAGUUCUGGCAAACUUGACCGAGUUAUGGCUACGCACUUGCUCGGUGCAACGAUGGUUGCCGUUGGACUUUGUUUUUCUGGACCAAAUUGAGUAAAAAUUGACAAAAACUACAUUCAAGUUAUUAAUUUAAUUUUAAUUUUUUUUUAUUUUUUUUUUGAAGUGAAACUUCUUUGCGCUCGUUGGGCUGUAAUUCCAGUAUCGAAUGUAACGAAAAAGCGACAGGAAAAGGGGGGGAUGGCGCUCGUGGUGGGGCAGUCGGGCUGAAGGAGAAAUGGGAGAGAAACGAAAACGUGAGAGAUUCGGAUUAAUGUUAAUGUUAGGGAUAAUAUUAAUGGUAAGGUUAAUGUUAAGGUUAAUACUUAUGUUAAUGUUAAUGUUACUGUUCAUGUUAAUGUUAAUGAUACUGUUGAUGUUAAUUAUUCGCUCUAAAUUGCCAAAGUUUACGGGCUCAUACUGGACUUGACGGACACAGUAGCCCAACGAGCGAAUAUUUUAUUACUGUCGGAAACAUGGAUAAUUAAUGAAGAAGCUUUGGAUAUGCCGAACUUCGAUUGUGUCAUCAAUUUCAAACGUCCCAAUGUAAGAGUUAUUGGGGUAGCUGUUUACAAUAACUCCAUUGACAGAAUAAAUAUUGUCACUCCACAUAUGGAUAUGAAAUUACAACAAAUUAACUGGUUAGCUGUGAAUGCUGCUGCAGUUGGAGAUAUUUGUUCGGCCGAAUAUGUCAUAGAAAGCGAACAGAGUGUGACAAUGAUUGUUCUCUACAUCACUCCGAACCAGAGAAUUAACGAUAUAAUAAAAUUCUAGUGCAGCAGAAUUAGGAGAAAAUUUGCAUACUAUGCCAAUGAUUUUAAGCGAUGAUUUUGAUGUCAAUUUUGCCUUGGAAGAAGCUCAACUACUUGUACAAUUUUUAUAUGGAAGUAAAUAAAUAGAUGUUUUAUAAAUGGAGGCGAAAACGUCAACUCUCUUUUUUCAUUAACUUAACACCCUUAAAAAUUUCAGAAUAAUGAAUAGUGGCUUCUGUUAUCGGGGAAAUAUUUCUAUCUCAUAAAACCUGCUAGCUAAGCUUUCCAAGCUGUUUGGUUUUUUUAUUUUUAAGGUCUUGCUACAGUCUUGUAAUCAAACCUGCUUUAAAAGGAAAGAACUACCAGCCUUCUAAAGAACAAUGAUUCACCAAACAGGCUCAACUAGUUAGAAUCUUAAGCUUGCUUAGUUUUAAUUAGAGUUCAGAUUUUAUUACUUAUUGUUAGACGAUAUAUAAGCAAAAAUUAAAAAUAAAGGUUCAUAUUUAAUUAGUUUUUACUUCACUUGAAA